AUGGAGGGGGUGCAGGCGGCCGUGACGGCGCACCUGGACCAGGUGUCGGGCCUCGUCCAGGCGCUCUCCUCCGAGCUCCGCAGCGGGAUCGGCCCCGCCGCCGACAGCCUGCUCGCCUUCGUCCGCGCCGUCGACUGGACGGAGCCAUGGCUGCUGUGCUUGAUGGCGUUCCACGCGGGCCUGCUGCUGACGGCCGUCGGGCUGAGGAGGAAUGCCAACCUGCAGUUCUUCUUCUUGUUUCUUGCUUAUUCAGGGGUGUAUCUAGCUGAAAAGAUAAACAUCUACCUAGCAGAGCACUGGAAGAUCUUCGCCAGCCGGAAUUACUUUGACCGCGCUGGAGUUUUCGUCUCCGUUGUUUGGUCCGGCCCCCUUGUCUUCAUAUCUAUCGUCACCGUGGUUAGCUCUCUUAUUACACUGUGCCAGUUAAUGGUGAAAUGGAAGAGAGCAGAACUAAGGCAUCGGGCUCGUCUUGCUCGUGACAAGGAGGAAUGA
rnacentral:rRNA from 1 species